AUUGAACGCUGGCGGCAGGCUUAACACAUGCAAGUCGAGCGGAGAGAGGUAGCUUGCUACUGAUCUUAGCGGCGGACGGGUGAGUAAUGCUUAGGAAUCUGCCUAUUAGUGGGGGACAACAUUUCGAAAGGAAUGCUAAUACCGCAUACGUCCUACGGGAGAAAGCAGGGGAUCUUCGGACCUUGCGCUAAUAGAUGAGCCUAAGUCGGAUUAGCUAGUUGGUGGGGUAAAGGCCUACCAAGGCGACGAUCUGUAGCGGGUCUGAGAGGAUGAUCCGCCACACUGGGACUGAGACACGGCCCAGACUCCUACGGGAGGCAGCAGUGGGGAAUAUUGGACAAUGGGCGCAAGCCUGAUCCAGCCAUGCCGCGUGUGUGAAGAAGGCCUUAUGGUUGCAAAGCACUUUAAGCGAGGAGGAGGCUACUUUAGUUAAUACCUAGAGAUAGUGGACGUUACUCGCAGAAUAAGCACCGGCUAACUCUGUGCCAGCAGCGCCGUAAUAC
rnacentral:rRNA from 1 species